ensembl:lncRNA
AUGUUUUUCCCCCAUUUUCCCGGAUUUUCCCCCCAUUUUCCCGGAUUUUUCCAUGUUUUUUCCCCAUUUUUCCAGAUCUUUCCAUGUUUUUCCCCCAUUUUCCCAGAUUUUCCCCCCAUUUUCCCGGAUUUUUCCCUGUUUUUUCCCCAUUUUCCCAGAUUUUUCCCAGAUUUCCCCCCAUUUUCCCAGAUUUUUCCCCAUUUUCCCGGAUUUUUCCCUGUUUUUUCCCCAUUUUCCCAGAUUUUUCCCAGAUUUCCCCCCAUUUUCCCGGAUUUUCCCCCAUUUUCCCGGAUUUUUCCCUGUUUUUCCCCCAUUUUCCCGGAUUUUCCCAUGUUUUUCCCGGAUUUUUCCCUGUUUUUCCCCCUUUUCCCUGUCGGGAUUGACAAUUCCAGGAUUUCUCUUUUCCCAUGGAUUUUAUUGGGGGGGUCCCGUCCGUCAGUGCCGGUAGUGGGGGCUCCGGGAAUGGGACCGGGAAUGCCUGCGGGAAAACGGGAAUGCCGGGAAUGCCGGGAAUGCCCCCGGGAAAAUGGGAAAAUGGGAAUUCUGGGAUACCCCCGGGAAAAUGGGAAUGGGAAAUCUGGGAUACCCCUGGGAAAACGGGAAUGCCGGGAAUUCCGGGAAUGCCGGGAAAACGGGAAUUCCGGGAAAAUGGGAAUUCUGGGAUACACCGGGAAAAUGGGAAUGGGAAUUCUGGGAAUGGGAAUUCUGGGAUACACUGGGAAUGCUGGGAAUUCUGGGAAUGCCGGGAAUUCUGGGACAGCCCUGGGAAUGCCGGGAAUGGGAAUUCCGGGAUCCCCCCGGGAAAACAGGAAUGGGAAUUCUGGGAUAGCCCUGGGAAAAUGGGAAUGGGAAUUCUGGGAAUGCCGGGAACGGGAAUUCCGGGAUCCCCGGGAACACCGGGAACAGGGCCUGGGGGGGAUUUGGGAUCCCCGGGAUGCAGAAAUCCCGGGAAUGGGGGGAAAUUCGGGAUCCCCGGGGCUGGAUCAACCCCGGGGGGGUCUCUGGGAAUGCCGGGAAUGUUGGGAAUGUUGGGAAUGUUGGGAAUUGUGGCCGUACCUUCGUGAGGAGCUGUACUCCCGACCUGCCGGGAAAGGGAUCCCGUCAGCUCCCAAAUCCCACUUUUUUCCCCCAUUUUUCCCGUUUUUCCCACCUUUUCCCACUUUUUUCCCAUUUUCCCCUCAUUUUCCCCCGUUUUUCCCACUUUUCCCCCAUUUUUCCCCCGUUUUUCCCCCCUUUUCCCCCAUUUUUCCCAUUUUUCCCGUUUUCCCCUCAUUUUCCCGCCCCCUGCCUUCGCCUCCCUCCGAAUCCCGGGGUUUUUUUUCCCGUUUUUCCAGCUGGGAAUUCCCCCCUCCCCCUCCCCCCAUGGAAUUCUCUGGGAAUUUUGGGAACGGAGCCCGCGGAUCCAUGGAAAAGUGGGAAUUUUGGGAAUUCCUCGGGAAUUCCUCAGGAUCGGAGCCUGGGGAAUUCAGGAAUUUUGGGAAUUUUGGGAAUUUUGGGAAUCCCUCAGGACGGGAGCCCGGGGAAUUCGGGAAUUUUGGGGGGAAUCACCCGGAAUUGUGGGAGCGGAGCCGCGGGGGGGCCGGGAAUUCUGGGAAUUUUGGGAAUUCUGGGAAUGUCGGGAAUUCUGGGAAUUUUGGGAAUCCCGUGGGGGAGGGGCACAGACCGUGGCGGGGGGAGGGGCUGCGGCUCUGGCGGCUGUACUGA